AGGGGUAGAAGUAGUAAUAUCUUGAGACCGGCGGACGGGUGCGUAACGCGUAUGCGACUUACCUUAUGCAGGGAGAUAGCCCGGGGAAACCCGGAUUAAUAUUCCAUAAAUCAUAUUUAUUGCAUGAUAGAUAUGUAAAAGCCGAGGUGGCAUAAGAUAGGCAUGCGUCUGAUUAGUUAGUUGGUAGGGUAACGGCCUACCAAGGCGACGAUCAGUAGGGGUUCUGAGAGGAUUAUCCCCCACACUGGUACUGAGACACGGACCAGACUCCUACGGGAGGCAGCAGUGAGGAAUAUUGGUCAAUGGGCGGCAGCCUGAACCAGCCAUUCCGCGUGAAGGAAGAAGGCCUUAUGGGUUGUAAACUUCUUUUCUAUAAGAAGAAAGAUUUCGACGAGUCGGGACUUGACGGUAUUAUAGGAAUAAGCAUCGGCUAACUCCGUGCCAGCAGCCGCGGUAAUACGGAGGAUGCAAGCGUUAUCCGGAUUUAUUGGGUUU
rnacentral:rRNA from 1 species